rnacentral:rRNA from 1 species
AGAGUUUGAUUCUGGCUCAGGACGAACGCUGGCGGCGUGCCUAACACAUGCAAGUCGAACGGAGUCAGAAAGCUUGCUUUUGACUUAGUGGCGGACGGGUGAGUAACGCGUGAGUAACCUGCCUCUGAGAGGGGAAUAACGUUCUGAAAAGAACGCUAAUACCGCAUAACGUAUCGAAGCCGCAUGACUUUGAUACCAAAGAUUUUAUCGCUCGGAGAUGGACUCGCGUCCGAUUAGUUAGUUGGUGAGGUAACGGCCCACCAAGACCGCGAUCGGUAGCCGGACUGAGAGGUUGAUCGGCCACAUUGGGACUGAGACACGGCCCAGACUCCUACGGGAGGCAGCAGUGGGGGAUAUUGCGCAAUGGGGGCAACCCUUGACGCAGCAACGCCGCGUGAAGGAUGAAGGUUUUCGGAUUGUAAACUUCUUUUAUCAGGGACGAAGCUUGACGGUACCUGAUGAAUAAGCUCCGGCUAACUACGUGCCAGCCGCGGC